AUGGCGGAGAUGGGCCAUCGCCUGAGCAGCUGUGCCCGUCAGUUCUGCGUGCCGCUCAAGUUCCGUGCCGUGGUGGCAGAGUGGCACAUCGACGAUCUGAAUGUCGAGCCGGAUGAGGUCCUUGUCGUGAACGACAUGUUCAAUUUCAGGACCUUGAUGGAUGAGAGCGUCCUAACAGACAGCCCGAGCCCCAGGGAUGUUGUCCUCAGCAACAUCAGCAAGAUGAAGCCUGAGGUGUUCAUUCAGGGCAUCGUGAAUGGUUCAUAUGGCACCUUCUUCCUGUCGCGGUUCCGGGAGGCCCUCUUUUACCACUCUGCACUGUUCGAUAUGUUUGAUGCCAUGGCUGCUGCAGGGGUGGAAGGGACGGAUCCUCUUAGCACACUCAAUGUGGGUGUCGGAUGA
rnacentral:rRNA from 1 species